UGCCAGCAGCCGCGGUAAGACGAACCGUCCAAACGUUAUUCGGAAUCACUGGGCUUAAAGGGCGCGUAGGCGGCUCUACAAGUUGGGUGUGAAAGCCCACGGCUCAACCGUGGAAUUGCGCCCAAAACUGUAAAGCUUGAGGGAGACAGAGGUGAGCGGAACUUAUAGUGGAGCGGUGAAAUGCGUUGAUAUCAUAAGGAACACCGGUGGCGAAGGCGGCUCACUGGGUCUCUUCUGACGCUGAGGCACGAAAGCUAGGGUAGCGAACAGGAUUAGAUA
rnacentral:rRNA from 1 species